CCUACGGGGGGCAGCAGUGGGGAAUCUUGCGCAAUGGGCGAAAGCCUGACGCAGCGACGCCGCGUGAGUGAUGAAGGCCUUCGGGUUGUAAAGCUCUGUGGGGAGAGACGAAUAAGUGCGGGCUAAUACUCCGCAUGAUGACGGUAUCUCCUUAGCAAGCACCGGCUAACUCUGUGCCAGCAGCCGCGGUAAGACAGAGGGUGCAAACGUUGUUCGGAAUUACUGGUCGUAAGGCGUGUGUAUCGGGUCAGAAAGCCCUGGGCUCAACCCAGGAAGUGCACUCGAUACUGCAUGGCUUGAGUACCGGAGAGGUUGGUGGAAUUCUCGGUGUAGAGGUGAAAUUCGUAGAGAUCGAGAGGAACACCGGUGGCGAAGGCGGCCAACUGGACGGAUACUGACGCUGAGACACGAAAGCGUGGGGAGCAAACAGGAUUAGAUACCCGGGUAGUC
rnacentral:rRNA from 1 species